UACGUAGGGUGCAGGCGUUAAUCGGAAUUACUGGGCGUAAAGCGUGCGCAGGCGGUUUCUUAAGUCAGAUGUGGAAGCCCCGGGCUUAACCUGGGAACUGCGUUUGAAACUGGGAGACUUGAGUGUGGCAGAGGGGGGUGGAAUUCCACGUGUAGCAGUGAAAUGCGUAGAUAUGUGGAGGAACACCAAUGGCGAAGGCAGCCCCCUGGGUCAACACUGACGCUCAUGCACGAAAGCGUGGGGAGCAAACAGG
rnacentral:rRNA from 1 species